UCUGUACAUCGUGACUCUUCAUUACCACAAACAAACACGACUUAACUUCUAUAGCAUUCCUACACACCGCCACGUUUGGAAAACACUAAUCCACAUUUCUGGCAACACCAAAAUCGCGUCUGCGUUUAGUUAAACUUCUCAGAUUCUCGUUUGCUCCGAUUUGGCGGCGAUGAUGAGUUCGGCGGCGAGGGUGCCCAAGCUGGGCUCCUUCCGUCACAGCUUCGCCGAGAAGAAGGAGAGGCUGCUCUCCAUGAAGGGCGGAGGUUACUCCCAAAUUGGAAUCGCGCUGCCGGAGUCCGACGAGGAGGACAACUCUCCGCGGAGGCGAUGCUGCUCGUACCGCGCUGUCUCCGACAUGAUCAUCGGCGCGUGGAAGAGCAUGAAGCGCGUGGCAGCGCGAGCGUGGGAGAUGGGGAUGUCUGAUCCCAGGAAGAUCAUAUUCUCCGCAAAAAUGGGACUCGCUCUCAUUCUCCUCUCGCUUCUGAUUUUCCUCAAAAAGCCCUUUGAGGACGUUAGUCGAUACUCCGUUUGGGCUAUUCUCACUGUCGUUGUGGUCUUCGAAUUCAGCAUAGGGGCAACUCUUAGCAAAGGGCUUAACAGAGGACUGGGGACUUUGUUAGCUGGAGGUCUAGCUUUGGCAAUGGGAAUCUUAUCACAGUUGGCUGGAAAAUGGGAAGAGCUCAUCAUAACUGUUAGCAUCUUCACUGUAGGAUUUUGUGCCACAUAUGCAAAACAAUAUCCAACAAUGAAGGCUUAUGAAUAUGGUUUCCGUGUGUUCUUGAUCACCUAUUGCUACAUUAUUGUAUCAGGGUAUCGAACAGGAGAGUUUGUGCAAACAGCUAUAAAUAGAUUUUUGCUCAUUGCACUUGGUGCUGCUGUGGCACUCGGGAUAAAUGUAUGUAUAUAUCCAAUAUGGGCUGGUGAGGAUCUGCAUAAUCUUGUGGCAAAAAAUUUCGUGGGCGUUGCUGCAUCAUUGGAAGGCGUUGUUAAUAACUAUCUUAAUUGUGUUGAAUACGAGAGAGUUCCUUCUAAAAUUCUUACAUACCAAGCUGCAGAGGAUGUGGUUUACAAAGGCUACAGAUCAGCUGUUGAAUCUACAAGCACAGAGGAUUCAUUGAUGGGUUUUGCUGUAUGGGAGCCACCUCAUGGUAGAUAUAAAAUGCUUAGAUAUCCCUGGCAAAAUUAUGUGAAAGUAAGUGGGGCUCUAAGGCAUUGUGCAUUUAUGGUCAUGGCUAUGCAUGGAUGUAUACUUUCUGAAAUACAGGCACCACCAGAGAAGAGACAAGUCUUUAGAAGGGAGCUUCAGAAGGUAGGUUCUGAAGGGGCGAAAAUUCUAAGGGAACUCGGAAACAAAGUAAAAAAAAUGGAGAAACUAGGCGAGGACGACAUUCUUUACGAAGUACACGAGGCAGCAGAAGAAUUGCAGCAGAAGAUUGACAAAAAAUCCUUCCUCCUUGUGAAUUCAGAGAGCUGGGAAAUCGGAAACCGGCCAAGAGGGGAGGGUGAUUCUCAAGAUCUCUUGCACGUGGAUGAAGAAAGACACUUUCUGGAGUACAAGUCUCUAAGUGAAGCCGUGCUUGAUCUCAGAGCCGUCAAAGUUCCAAAAGGUUGGGGAGAACAAGCAGCUCCUGAGAAGAUACCUGUAGGUGUUGGUGAUGAAAACAUGUUCAGGAAACAGAUAUCUUGGCCUGCUCAUAUUUCCUUCACAGCAGAUGCAGUGACAAAAGAGGAAGAAUCUAAAACGUAUGAAAGUGCUAGUUCUUUGUCUCUAGCCACUUUUACAUCGCUUCUGAUUGAGUUUGUGGCAAGGCUUCAGAACCUUGUAGAUUCUUUCGAAGAGUUGGGCGAGAGAGCAAAAUUUAAGGACCCUCUUGAGCAAGCUCCAACAACAACUGGGGGGUUUUGGAACCGGUUGUGUAAUGUUUUGACGGGAAAGGAUUGAGAAUUUGAGAAAUGGCAGCAUGGACUAAUCUGAAUUAAAUGCUGAAAUCCCAAAAUCAGAGUGUGUAUGUACCUUUUUUCGUUUUCUGUAGAUCAUCUGAACUCAACCUCAAAGCCAUCAUUCUUUACUGACUUCGUAAUCCGAGAACAACAACUCGCCUAAAUCAACCCGAGUGCUAUUUCUAAGACUUUUCUUGAUGAAAAAAUUAUCAACUUUCACAUGUUGCAAUGCUUUAUUAAGGUGAUGUUGAGUUGAAUAGGGUACUGAAUAAUGUCUUUUGCAACUUCUAUUAUCACGAUAUAGUUGAAUGGGAAGUUGCGCAUACCUAAAUUUUGGACCGGGUCACAAACCUUCGUAGACCAUUCCUUUAAGUUCAAUGUAGUGGAUCUAAUUGCAACUUUUUGUUUCUUUUCCAUGUGAUAAUGUAAC